rnacentral:lncRNA from 1 species
AACGAUAUAAAGAUUUCCAAAAACGGAUAAGUUUCGGAUAUAAGCGAGCUCGUUCGAAACUUUAAAACGGUAGCCGGGAUGUGAACAGUAAAUGUGCAGGAAAACUACUGAGGCCUGCCAGUUUUUUGGGUCAACUUUGAACGAUCAUAACUCCCUAAAUAUAAUGAACUGGGAGAGCUACCACAUAUCAAAAGAAAGAUCUCUGAGUCUUCUUUCCAAUGCAAUUGGUUUCAUCCAAAUCCAACAUCUGAGUAAGGAGUUAUACUCGUUUUACUUCAGCCUCUCAAAACAGAUUUUUAGGGUCAACUUCAAACGAUCAUAACUACUUGUACAGGACGAACUGGGUGG